rnacentral:rRNA from 1 species
UACGGGGGGCAAGCGUUGUUCGGAAUUACUGGGCGUAAAGGGCUCGUAGGCGGCCAACUAAGUCAGACGUGAAAUCCCCAGGCUCAACCUGGGAACUGCGUCUGAUACUGGAUGGCUUGAAUCCGGGAGAGGAUGCAGAAUUCCAGGUGUAGCGGUGAAAUGCGUAGAUAUCUGGAGGAAUACCGGUGGCGAAGGCGGCAUCCUGGACCGGCAUUGACGCUGAUGCGCGAAAGCCAGGGGGAGCGAACGGGG